GGGGCUGUAGCUCUGUGGUAGAGUGCAUGUUUUGCAUGUAUGAGGCCCUGGAUUGAAUCCCCGGCAUGUCUG